rnacentral:tRNA from 1 species
CUCACUUGCUAAGUGGAUAGGUCGAUGGCUUUCGAAGCGAGUGGUACUGGGUUCGAGUCCCAGAGUGAACA